rnacentral:rRNA from 1 species
AUCAUCUGAAGCAAGUAGGAGU